UCCUCCGAGCCGGACACCGCAUUCCAGCCGCCUUCGCACCAGCGCUUGUAGGCAUCGGGCCAGCCCGUCGCUGUGACGACACCUUUGUCAGUGAGCUUGAUGCCUUCGCGGUCGCCAGUCUGGUUGAGCGGCUCNNNNNCGCGAAUUUGCCGGCUUCCUCGAUCACCGCGGCGGAAAACUCCGGAUCGUAGCCAUUAUAA
rnacentral:misc_RNA from 1 species